GUGUGAGCAUGCCUGUCGGG
rnacentral:siRNA from 1 species